rnacentral:lncRNA from 1 species
GGAGUUGCCCGCUUGUCCAGAUGAGUUGUUCUGGCUUUGCCCAAUACUUGGAUGAUUUUUCCAACCAUGGCUAGAAUUACCUUGGUUGAAAUUUCCCUGCUUGUAUUGAAAUUGGGCUCCCAUAUAAUUCACAUCCUGUUGCAUCUCCUCCGUGAAAGCACAUUGACCAUUGAUAUGGUCGCCACCGCAUAAAUCACAAAGUUGUUGAGUCUGAGAAAUAUUUCUAAGUUCGGAGAUGAUCUUUGUCAACUUGUCCAGUUUCUGGCUGAGGAGGUGAUUCUGUGCUGUUGCAGCGUCUUCAGUAGGAAGAUGUAGGAGUCCUCC